UCCGGUGGUGAUGCGCUUAUGGGUCACACCCGUUCCCAUCCCGAACACGAUGGUUAAGACAUAAGCGGCCGAUGGUACUAUAUUGGAAACGAUAUGGGAGAGUAGGUGGCUGCCGGAU
rnacentral:rRNA from 1 species